rnacentral:lncRNA from 12 species
GUGGAAGCUAAACAGGAGGAAUCGAGUCCCAGAUGGAGCUUUUACCUCAACAACUGUUGUCACUGCUGCCCUUGGAACUGCAAACUGCCCAGAUCUUUGGACUCUGGGACAACAUGACACCAAUUACAUCCUCUCACAGAGACUCAGCACUUUCCUGAUCUUCAUUUUAAUCUUCUCCUUUCUUGGUUAUUGUGGCAAAAAGCAAAGAAAAUUAACGUUCAUUUAAUUGAGGAAACACUGGGCUGGAAGGGUAUUGAGGACAGAUACACUAGGAACUAAUAUUAGACACUAUUAUUUAAUGUUCAAUCUAGAAUAUACCAGAACACUCAAAACUCAGAAACUCAUUUUCAAUGAAUUGUUACUUUAUCAAAAUCAGACAAAAUGAGCCUGUCAGAAAGGCUGCACCCUCCUAGUAAUUUCAUAUGCCAUCGGUACUAUGAUCCUUAGCAACGGGUUGUUAUUAUUAAGUAUAAGGCGAUGUGAAAUGCUGGAGUGUCCUAUCCUCUGGAUGGUUUGAAAAGAUACUUUCCAUUCUGGCUGCCGAAAUAAAUAAGCAAACCAAAAUUAUAUAAAAACAGUAAAGAAAAAAGCAAAAGUCAUGACAUUAACCUCCCUGGACUGUCGCUGAUCUUCAUGUUUAAAACACUGGUGAUCCAAUACAUUCCGCCCGCUAUCUUACAAUCAGAUGGGCUCUCACAGGUGCAGUUCCUGGUGCUGGGCAGCAUUGCUCAAAAAUCAUCGAACUAUCCAAGGGGCAAUGCAAGAAACUACUGAAAAUUAUUGAUGUGAUUUAAAUACCUUUUCCUUCUGUGGACUUCUGAAUGGCAUGAUGCACAAAGUUUGAUUCAAAAAUAAUUGCUAAAUAUGGUAUGUGUUGGAUUCAUGAUGAAGUUAAAUUCCCUGAAGGAGUUAUGAAAGAUAAAUCAUGAAAGGUAAGUCACACAUAGGAAGAUAAUUCACACAUACCAUUUUUUUCCUGUCCUUUUGUAACCCAUGUCGCUGAAAGGUAAUGUCACAUUGGAAAUAUUGCUGUUACCCAGAGAUUAUGAAAAUGGGAGGAAGGUAUUGAAUUUAGUUCCUGGGUUAUAUUUAGAAUUAAGUAGGUGUUGUCUCUUGGAAAGUCGCUUUCC